AUAAUGCAGUCGAGCGAAUGGAUUAAGAGCUUGCUCUUAUGAAGUUAGCGGCGGACGGGUGAGUAACACGUGGGUAACCUGCCCAUAAGACUGGGAUAACUCCGGGAAACCGGGGCUAAUACCGGAUAACAUUUUGAACUGCAUGGUUCGAAAUUGAAAGGCGGCUUCGGCUGUCACUUAUGGAUGGACCCGCGUCGCAUUAGCUAGUUGGUGAGGUAACGGCUCACCAAGGCAACGAUGCGUAGCCGACCUGAGAGGGUGAUCGGCCACACUGGGACUGAGACACGGCCCAGACUCCUACGGGAGGCAGCAGUAGGGAAUCUUCCGCAAUGGACGAAAGUCUGACGGAGCAACGCCGCGUGAGUGAUGAAGGCUUUCGGGUCGUAAAACUCUGUUGUUAGGGAAGAACAAGUGCUAGUUGAAUAAGCUGGCACCUUGACGGUACCUAACCAGAAAGCCACGGCUAACUACGUGCCAGCAGCCGCGGUAAUACGUAGGUGGCAAGCGUUAUCCGGAAUUAUUGGGCGUAAAGCGCGCGCAGGUGGUUUCUUAAGUCUGAUGUGAAAGCCCACGGCUCAACCGUGGAGGGUCAUUGGAAACUGGGAGACUUGAGUGCAGAAGAGGAAAGUGGAAUUCCAUGUGUAGCGGUGAAAUGCGUAGAGAUAUGGAGGAACACCAGUGGCGAAAGCGACUUUCUGGUCUGUAACUGACACUGAGCGCGA
rnacentral:rRNA from 1 species